rnacentral:rRNA from 1 species
AUUGAACGCUGGCGGCAUGCCUUACACAUGCAAGUCGAACGGUAACGGGCCUUCGGGUGCCGACGAGUGGCGAACGGGUGAGUAAUAUAUCGGAACGUACCUUUCAGUGGGGGAUAACGUAGCGAAAGUUACGCUAAUACCGCAUAUUCUGUGCGCAGGAAAGCAGGGGACCUUCGGGCCUUGCGCUGAUUGAGCGGCCAAUAUAAGAUUAGCUAGUUGGUGAGGUAAGGGCCCACCAAGGCGACGAUCUGUAGCGGGUCUGAGGGGAUGUUCCGCACACUGGAACUGAGACACGGUCCAGACUCCUACGGGAGGCAGCAGUGGGGAAUUUUGGACAAUGGGGGCAACCCUGAUCCAGCCAUGCCGCGUGAGUGAAGAAGGCCUUCGGGUUGUAAAGCUCUUUCGGCCGGGAAGAAAUCGUAUGGGCUAAUACCCUGUGCGGAUGACGGUACCGGCAUAAGAAGCACCGGCUAACUACGUGCCAGCCGCCGCAGUAACAC